rnacentral:rRNA from 1 species
UCCAAUCGAACUUGGAGAUAGCUGGUUCUCUCCGAAAUAGCUUUAGGGCUAGCCUCAAGUGAUGAUUAUUGGAGGUAGAGCACUGUUUGGACGAGGGGCCCCUCUCGGGUUACCGAAUUCAGACAAACUCCGAAUGCCAAAUAAUUUAACUUGGGAGUCAGACUAUGGGUGAUAAGGUCCGUAGUCGAAAGGGAAACAGCCCAGACCACCAGCUAAGGUCCCAAAAUAUAUGUUAAGUGGAAAAGGAUGUGGCGUUGCCCAGACAACUAGGAUGUUGGCUUAGAAGCAGCCAUCAUUUAAAGAGUGCGUAAUAGCUCACUAGUCGAGUGACACUGCGCCGAAAAUGUACCGGGGCUAAACAUAUUACCGAAGCUGUGGAUUAUCCGUAAGGAUAAUGGUAGGAGAGCGUUCUAAAC